rnacentral:rRNA from 1 species
UACAGAGGGUGCGAGCGUUGUCCGGAAUCACUGGGCGUAAAGGGCGCGUAGGUGGCCGUGCAAGUCCCUGGUGAAAGCUCGAUGCUCAACAUCGAGUCGGCCAGAGAUACUGCAGGGCUGGAGCACUGUAGAGGCUCAUGGAAUUCCGGGGUGUAGCGGUGGGAAUGCGAUAGAGAUCCGGGAAGAACACCGGUGGCGAAGGGCGGUGAGCUGGGCAGUAGCUGACACUGAGGCGCGACAGCGUGGGGAGCAAACAGG